GCGCGAAAACUUUACAAUGCGGGAAACCGUGAUAAGGGGACCCCGAGUGCCUGUACACGCAGGCUGUUCAGGUGUUUAAAACGCAUCUGGAGAAAGGGCCGGGCAAGACCGGUGCCAGCCGCCGCGGUAAUACCGGCGGCUCGAGUGGUGGCCACUAUUACUGGGCUUAAAGCGUCCGUAGCCGGGUUGUUAAGUCUCCUGGGAAAUCCAACGGCUCAACCGUUGGGCGUUCAGGGGAUACUGGCAAUCUAGGGAUCGGGGGAGGUGAGAGGUACUCUAGGGGUAGGAGUGAAAUCCUGUAAUCCUUGGGGGACCACCUGUGGCGAAGGCGUCUCACCAGAACGACUCCGACGGUGAGGGACGAAAGCUGGGGGAGCAAACCGG
rnacentral:rRNA from 1 species